UACGGGAGGCAGCAGUGGGGAAUAUUGGGCAAUGGGCGAAAGCCUGACCCAGCAACGCCGCGUGAGGGAAGAAGGUCUUCGGGUUGUAAACCUCUGUCCUUCGUGAAAAGCAAGGAUGGUAGCGAAGGAGGAAGCUCCGGCUAACUACGUGCCAGCAGCCGCGGUAAU
rnacentral:rRNA from 1 species